CCCGGAGAAGCUGAAAGGGUUCAAGCGCUCGGCUGAAGACCGAGAGAAGAUAGGUUCGACUCCUUCCUCCGGGA
rnacentral:tRNA from 1 species